rnacentral:rRNA from 1 species
GCUGUUUAUCGNAAAACAUAGCUUUAGGUUGGUUUUAUCUAAGGUGAGCCCUGCCCAGUGAGUAAGUUUAAAUGGCCGCAGUACCCUGACUGUGCUAAGGUAGCGUAAUCAGUUGGCUUUUAAAUGGAGUCGUGUAUGAAUGGGUCAUUGGGGUUUAGCUGUCUUCGUUAUGGAUUCUUUGAACUUACUAAAUGAGGUGAAAAAUCCUCUAUGUAGAAAAUAGACGAGAAGACCCUUGGAGUUUUUAUGAGCCAUAUUCUGUAUGUUUAGUUUUUGCUGGGGCGGCAGAGAGGCAAGGAAAUUUAACCCUCAUGAUCUUCCUUUCUUUAUAUGACACUUAUUAGAAGAAUAGUAAAACUACCCAAGGGAUAACAGCAUAAUUUAUUUAUAAGUUUGUGACCUCGAUGUUGGACUAGGGACUUUAUGGCCAGCAGCCUCAAAAGCUUGUUCUGUUCGAACAACCAUCCCUACGUGAUCUGAGUUCNAGACCGA